rnacentral:rRNA from 1 species
UGAAUACGAGACGCUAAGGCGUCGAAGUAGUGUAUGUCGUACUUCCAAGAAAAGCUUGCACUGUCAUAGAUAAAAAACGCCUGUACCAUAACCGACACAGGUGGGUAGGUAGAGUAUACUAAGGGGCGCGAGAUAACUCUCUCUAAGGAACUCGGCAAAAUAACUCCGUAACUUCGGGAGAAGGAGUGCCUUAUUCGUAAGGUUGCAAUAACAAGAUCCAAGCAACUGUUUAUCAAAAACACAGGUCUCCGCUAAGUCGUAAGACGAUGUAUGGGGGCUGACGCCUGCCCAGUGCCAGAAGGUUAAAGAAGUUGGUUAGCAAUUGCGAAGCUGAUAACUGAAGCCCUGGUGAACGGCGGCCGUAACAAUAACGGUCCUAAGGUAGCGAAAUUCCUUGUCGGGUAAGUUCCGACCCGCACGAAAGGCGUAAUGAUUUGGAUACUGUCUCGGAGAGGGGCUCGGUGAAAUAGACUUGUCUGUGAAGAUGCGGACUACCUGCACCAGGACAGAAAGACCCUAUGAAGCUUUACUGUAACUUGAAAUUGAAAUUGGACUUUAUUCGCGCAGUAUAGGUGGGAGGCGUUGAUUAUAAUCUUGUGGGAUUAUUGGAGCCAUCAGUGAGAUACCACUCUUGUAAUGUUAGAUUUCUAACUUUGAAUCAUUAUCUGGUCAAAGAACAGUUUCAGGCGGGCAGUUUGACUGGGGCGGUCGCCUCCUAAACGGUAACGGAGGCGUACAAAGGUUUCCUCUGAACGGUUAGAAAUCGUAUCUAGAGUGUAAAGGCAUAAGGAAGCUUGACUGUGAGACCUACAAGUCGAGCAGGGACGAAAGUCGGUCUUAGUGAUCUGACGGUACUGAGUGGAAAGGCCGUCACUCAACGGAUAAAAGUUACUCUAGGAUAACAGGCUGAUCUCCCCCAAGAGUUCACAUCGACGGGGAGGUUUGGCACCUCGAUGUCGGCUCAUCGCAUCCUGGGGCGGUAGUACGUCCCAAGGGUUGGGCUGUUCGCCCAUGAAAGCGGUACGCGAGCUGGGUUCAGAACGUCGUGAGACAGUUCGGUCCAUAUCCGGUGUAGGCGUUAGAAUAUUGAGAGGAGCCUUCUUUAGUACGAGAGGACCGAGAAGGACAUACCUCUGGUGUACCAGUUAUCGUGCCAACGGUAAACGCUGGGUAGCUAUGUAUGGAGUGGAUAACCGCUGAAAGCAUCUAAGUGGGAAGCCCACCUCAAGAUAAGUA